CCCUUAGAUGUUCUGGGCGGCCCGCGCACUACAUUAGCACUCUCAAUAAGUUCCUAGAUCUAAAACUUUGGGGUAUUCUAUUAAGUGGUGUCGUGACUGGGAUUAACCCUUGCAAUUAUUGGUUACGAACGAGGAAUUCCUUGUAAUCGCGGUUUAUCAGCCCGCGUUGAAUGCGUCCCUGCCCUUUGUACACACCGCCCGUCGCUCCUACCGAUGAAUCGUCCGGUGAAGUUCAUGGAGUGGUGGUUGUUCCAGCUGCUGUCGAAGUGAAAUGGACCUCACGAUUUAGAGGAAGGAGAAGUCGUAACA
rnacentral:rRNA from 1 species